AAGGAAAAAAAGAAGGAAGGAAGGAUGGCUAGAAAGAAGGGUAAAGAGCAAGUGAGGAAAGGAGGGAAGGAAAAGUAGGAAGAGCCUCUUUGAGGUGGUGGCAUCUGAGCAGAGACCUGAAUGAAGGUUUAGAGUGAGCCAGGAGAAGAUCUGGAGGAAGAGCAUCCCAGGCAGCUGGUACGGCAUGUGCAAAGGCCCUGGGGUGAGACUGGGCUCUGCAUAUUGGGGGAACAUCAAGUAGAUGUGCAGAGUGAUGGAAGAAGAGGCUGAGGUGGGUAGGGGUCUGACUAUGAAGAAUCUUCCAGGCCACAGAAAGGACUCCUCUAGGAAGGAGUGAAGGAGCCAGGCAGGGGUGGCUUCCUUCAGGAGAGGACAAGGCUGUGUAGACACAGUUACUUCCUUUCUGCUGCUUCUGAAGGGCUGGCCGUCCAGGGGAA